AGCCGACCUUGAAAUACCACCCUUUAAUGUUUGAUGUUCUAACGUGGAUCCGUAAUCCGGGUUGCGGACAGUGUCUGGUGGGUAGUUUGACUGGGGCGGUCUCCUCCUAAAGAGUAACGGAGGAGCACGAAGGUUGGCUAAUCCUGGUCGGACAUCAGGAGGUUAGUGCAAUGGCAUAAGCCAGCUUGACUGCGAGCGUGACGGCGCGAGCAGGUGCGAAAGCAGGUCAUAGUGAUCCGGUGGUUCUGAAUGGAAGGGCCAUCGCUCAACGGAUAAAAGGUACUCCGGGGAUAACAGGCUGAUACCGCCCAAGAGUUCAUAUCGACGGCGGUGUUUGGCACCUCGAUGUCGGCUCAUCACAUCCUGGGGCUGAAGUAGGUCCCAAGGGUAUGGCUGUUCGCCAUUUAAAGUGGUACGCGAGCUGGGUUUAGAACGUCGUGAGACAGUUCGGUCCCUAUCUGCCGUGGGCGCUGGAGAACUGAGGGGGGCUGCUCCUAGUACGAGAGGACCGGAGUGGACGCAUCACUGGUGUUCGGGUUGUCAUGCCAAUGGCACUGCCCGGUAGCUAAAUGCGGAAGAGAUAAGUGCUGAAAGCAUCUAAGCACGAAACUUGCCCCGAGAUGAGUUCUCCCUGAGACUUAGAGUCUCCUGAAGGAACGUUGAAGACGACGACGUUGAUAGGCCGGGUGUGUAAGCGCAGCGAUGCGUUGAGCUAACCGGUACUAAUGAACCGUGAGGCUUAACCUUACAACGCCGAAG
rnacentral:rRNA from 1 species